UCUUCAUUUCACAUAUUAUCUCACCAGUCUGAUAGGCAAGAGAAUGUGUGAAAUGAAGAGA
rnacentral:pre_miRNA from 1 species